AGACAACUGUCUAGGUUGGCCCUGCGAUAGCUACACCACUGUAUUAUAUGUGCAUGCUUCGCGAGGGAACAAACAGGAUUUGUAAAUAUUAAUUGUAAGGUUAAUUAAUAAACGAUGGCAACAGUGGGGAAUCACCGUGAAAAUAGAUCCUCUUUUGUUGUCUGUUUGAACGGAAAAAUAUAAAUGUAUAAUUUCACACAUUAUGCAUACAAAUAAUUUAUUAAUAUGAUUUUCUAACUCCAUAGAUGAUGUGUGAAGCACCCACCCACUAGUUGUAUUUAAAUAUUAAAUUAAAACAUUUAAAACGCUCUCCCUUUAAAAAAAUCCUAUUUACGCACCUGUAUUCAAAUGACAAAACACUUA